rnacentral:rRNA from 1 species
AGUGAACGCUGGCGGCAGGCCUAAUACAUGCAAGUCGAACGGCAGCACAGCAGAGCUUGCUCUGUGGGUGGCGAGUGGCGGACGGGUGAGGAAUACAUGGGAAUCUGCCCAGUCGUGGGGGAUAACGUAUGGAACGUACGCUAAUACCGCAUGAUGGCGAGAGCCCAAAGAUUUAUCGCCUUGGGAGCGGCCUGCGUCUGAUUAGCUUGUUGGUGGGGUAACGGGCCUACCAAGGCGAUGAUCAGUAGCUGGUCUGAGAGGAUGAUCAGCCACACUGGGACUGAGACACGGCCCAGACUCCUACGGGAGGCAGCAGUGGGGAAUAUUGGACAAUGGGCGAAAGCCUGAUCCAGCAAUGCCGCGUGGAUGAAGAAGGUCUUCGGAUUGUAAAGUCCUUUCGGCGGGGACGAUGGUAGUCGGUACCCGGUACCGACAAGGAAAGGAACCCGGGCCCGGUAACCUUAACGUUUCCGGCGACCGACGACGACCGGCCCGGA